rnacentral:tRNA from 1 species
AAGACUCUAGUAAAAUAUUACGCUGUCUUGUCAGGACAAAAUUGUGGGUUAAACCCCUGCGAGUCUUA